UGCAGUGGAGCGACGAACCGGGCUUCGGCCCGGGGCAAAGCCGCGAACGGGUGAGUAACACGUGGGUUACCUGCCCCGUUGACCGGGACAACCCGAGGAAACUCGAGCUAAUACCGGAUGUGCUCUUCGGAGGAAAGGAAGCUUCGGCCUCCGCAACGGGAUGGGCCCGCGGCCCAUUAGCUUGUUGGUGGGGUAACGGCCUACCAAGGCUGCGAUGGGUAGCUGGUCUGAGAGGACGAUCAGCCACACUGGGACUGAGACACGGCCCAGACUCCUACGGGAGGCAGCAGUGGGGAAUCUUGCGCAAUGCGCGAAAGCGUGACGCAGCAACGGCGCGUGCGGGAAGACGGCCUUCGGGUUGUAAACCGCUUUCAGUUGGGACGAAGCCUCGUCGGUGAAUAGCCGGCUGUGGUGACGGUACCUUCAGAAGAAGCCCCGGCUAACUACGUGCCAGCAGCCGCGGUAAUACGUAGGGGGCAAGCGUUGUCCGGAAUCAUUGGGCGUAAAGCGCGCGUAGGCGGCUUGGUAAGUCCGCUCUGAAAGCCCGGGGCUCAACCCCGGGAGGCGGGUGGAUACUGCUGAGCUCGAGUC
rnacentral:rRNA from 1 species